rnacentral:rRNA from 1 species
UAAUGAAGAGUUUGAUCCUGGCUCAGAAUGAACGCUGGCGGCGUGCCUAACACAUGCAAGUCGAGCGGGGAUAGUCCUUCGGGAUGUGUACCAGCGGCGGACGGGUGAGUAACGCGUGAGAACAUGCCUUUUAGUGAAGAAUACCUCAGGGAAGCCUGAGUUAAUACUGCAUAAUCCCUUAUGGGGGAAAGGUGGCUUUAUGCUGCCGCUAAAAGAUUGGCUUGCGUACUAUUAGCUAGUUGGUGAGGUAAUGGCUCACCAAGGCUUUGAUGGUUAACCGGCCUGAGAGGGUGUACGGUCACAUUGGAACUGAGAUACGGUCCAGACUCCUACGGGAGGCAGCAGUGGGGAAUAUUGCGCAAUGGGCGAAAGCCUGACGCAGCAACGCCGCGUGGAGGAUGAAGGUCUUCGGAUUGUAAACUUCUGUCUAGUGAGAAGAAAGACUUGCUAAUAAAACGGGCAAGGGAUGACGGUAUCACUAAAGAAAGCACUGGCUAAUCUCGUGCCAGCAGCCGCGGUAAUACGAGAGGUGCAAGCGUUAUUCGGAAUUAUUGGGCGUAAAGAGUGCGUAGGCGGUAUGAUAAGUCUGUUGUUAAAUCUCCUGGCUCAACCAGGAAAAUGCAAUGGAAACUAUUGUUCUAGAGGGUGAGAGAGAGAAGUGGAAUUCCAGGAGUUAGCGGUCAAAUGCGUAGAUCUCUGGAGGAACACCGAUGGCGAAGGCAGCUUCUUGGCUCAUUUCUGACGCUGAGGCACGAAAGCGUGGGGAGCAAACAGGAUUAGAUACCCUGGUAGUCCACGCUGUAAACGAUGAUCACUAGAUGUUGGUUCGGCUUGCCGGAUCAGUGUCGUAGCUAACGCGUUAAGUGAUUCGCCUGGGAAGUACGGUCGCAAGACUAAAACUUAAAGGAAUUGACGGGGGUCCGCACAAGCGGUGGAACAUGUGGUUUAAUUCGACAGUACGCGAGAAACCUUACCUGGGUUUGACAUUGUUGUGACAGCUGUAGAAAUACAGUCUUUUAGGUUUCGGCUUAAACACAAUAACAGGUGCUGCAUGGCUGUCGUCAGCUCGUGUCGUGAGAUGUUGGGUUAAGUCCUUUAACGAGCGCAACCCUUACUAUUAGUUGCUACUUGCGUAAGCAAGGCACUCUAAUGGGACUGCCUGGGAAACCAGGAGGAAGGUGGGGAUGACGUCAAGUCAGCAUGGUCCUUAUGCCCAGGGCUACACACGUGUUACAAUGGUCGGUACAACGGGGCGCAAUAUCGUAAGAUGGAGCAAAACCUUAUAAGCCGAUCUAAGUUCGGAUUGAGGUCUGCAACUCGACCUCAUGAAGUUGAAAUCGCUAGUAAUCGCGUAUCAGAACGGCGCGGUGAAUGCGUUCUCGGGCCUUGUACACACCGCCCGUCACGCCAUGAGAGUUAUUUGUACCCAAAGUUACUUUAGCUAACCCUUCAGGGAGGCGUGUACCUAAGGUAUGGGUGAUGAUCGGGGUGAAGUCGUAACAAGGUAGCCGUAGGAGAACCUGCGGCUGGAUCACCUCCUUUCGAGGGA